rnacentral:rRNA from 1 species
UGGGAAGUAUUGCAUCAAUGGGAACCGGAGCUGCAGCAACGCCGCGUGAGUGAUGAAGGCCUUCGGGUUGUAAAGCUCUGUCUUCAGGGACGAUAAUGACGGUACCUGAGGAGGAAGCCACGGCUAACUACGUGCCAGCAGCCGCGGUAAUACGUAGGUGGCAAGCGUUGUCCGGAUUUACUGGGCGUAAAGGGAGCGUAGGCGGAUACUUAAGUGGGAUGUGAAAUACCCGGGCUCAACUCGGGUGCUGCAUUCCAAACUGGGUGUCUAGAGUGCAGGAGAGGAAAGUGGAAUUCCUAGUGUAGCGGUGAAAUGCGUAGAGAUUAGGAA